AAUCAACUCCAGCCCUGGGCAUCCACUCCACUUCCACAAGGUGAGCUGUCACAGAUUAUUUACAAAAAUGAGUCUGGAAAAGUCUCUUUCUUUGCCGUAUUUCUUUCCAUUUAUUCCUUCUUUAUCUUUACCUUUACCUUAUUUAAUUUCAUAAUGAUUUUUCGUUCUAUUUAAGUUUUCUUUCUCUUCUUUCCUCUGUUGGUUUUCUAAUGCCCUUUAUUCCUUUUCCUAUUCAAAAUAGUCUAGAUCUAAAGACAAGUAGUCCAGGGAAUGGUCAGAUAAAAAAGAAUUUUCCAUAAAUUCUAUUGUGAGAUACUAAUUUUAAAAUAUUAAUCUAGCUAGACCAGGAAAAAAAAUAAUCCAAACAGCAACAUUUCUACAUGCAUAGAAUGUAGAAUAUUAGUGUUAUACUUUUAUUUAAAGCAUAUGUGUUAUGACUGAAUCAUUAUAUUUAUCAAUAAUGGUUUUCAAGGAAAUCAUACACCAAAAUAGCAUAGAAUCCUUGCUUGAAGUUUUACUUGAAGUGUAACAGAGUGUUUGAUGAGACAAUAAUUGUAAUAUUUUCCAGCAGAUGGAAAAAAUCAUUAUAUAACUGAUCUUCAGAGACCACAAUGUAAAAGUGUGCACUGUUCUUUUAUUUGUCAAAUAUGCACCACACCAUUCCAGCAACUGAAAUUAGGUAAUUGGUUUGCAACCUCAGAAAAUUAGAACCUAGCAAAUAUAUCCAUUCAUAGACUAAAUAAAGUGGUCAUGAAAGAUACUGACUGAAUCAUAUUAUAGCUUAAUCCAUUCACAUAACUAUUUUGGAAGCCUGUUGGAAUUAAUGUUAAAGGUGACUUAAAUUUUCCAAAGAACAUUUGAUAUCCAGUGGUGGUAGUGCUGUAUUUUAGAAAGAAUAUGGUUUUUUUAAAGCCCAACUUGUUUGGAUUUAAAUCCAGACUUCAGCAUUUCCAUCCUGUAGAAAUCAGGCAAUAUUUUUUUAAAAACUUCUCUAAGCCUUAAUACUUUUCUCUGUAAAAUGUAGAAAGCAAAAAUUAAAGAAAAUUCGACUUAGCAUUUUCCAUACAUAUGGAAUCAUAUGUAUGGCUUCCACAUGGUAUGUGCUUCUCAUAUAUUACUUUCUUGCUGCUUUCAAUUGACAUCUUCAUACAAAUAAAUACUUAUUGAUAUAACAUACUAUACAAACAUAACAAUUCGUAAGAACUAAUUACUAAAAUCUAUGUGCAA
rnacentral:lncRNA from 1 species